rnacentral:rRNA from 1 species
UCGAACGGUAACAGGCUAAGCUGACGAGUGGCGAACGGGUGAGUAAUAUAUCGGAACGUGCCCAGUCGUGGGGGAUAACUGCUCGAAAGAGCAGCUAAUACCGCAUACGACCUGAGGGUGAAAGCGGGGGAUCGCAAGACCUCGCGCGAUUGGAGCGGCCGAUAUCAGAUUAGGUAGUUGGUGGGGUAAAGGCCCACCAAGCCAACGAUCUGUAGCUGGUCUGAGAGGACGACCAGCCACACUGGGACUGAGACACGGCCCAGACUCCUACGGGAGGCAGCAGUGGGGAAUUUUGGACAAUGGGCGCAAGCCUGAUCCAGCCAUGCCGCGUGCGGGAAGAAGGCCUUCGGGUUGUAAACCGCUUUUGUCAGGGAAGAAAAGGUUCUGGUUAAUACCUGGGACUCAUGACGGUACCUGAAGAAUAAGCACCGGCUAACUACGUGCCAGCAGCCGCGGUAAUACGUAGGGUGCAAGCGUUAAUCGGAAUUACUGGGCGUAAAGCGUGCGCAGGCGGUUAUGCAAGACAGAGGUGAAAUCCCCGGGCUCAACCUGGGAACUGCCUUUGUGACUGCAUGGCUAGAGUACGGUAGAGGGGGAUGGAAUUCCGCGUG